UGACCGGCCGGCAACAGAUAAGGUUUUAUAGGCCUCAGAAUCCGCUGUGAGUGAGUCUUUAUAGAUCUCAGAAAUCCCUGAGACUUUUAGUCAAAACUGUCAUUUGGAAGCACUAAGAUGCGUGGAGCUAUUGCAGUAAUUUUGGUCGUCGCCGUUCUCCUGAUUUCGGAAAACGAAGCAGCUGUUGCACUUGACAUCUUCAUUGAUCCUGCCCAUCCUGGAAAAUGCGUCCUUGAGGGUCUUAUUUUAGACGGUGGUCAAACUGCCCGCAACCCAAACAAGUGUGAGCGAAUUUUAGCAUAGCAUAGCACAGAUUCAAUCAUGCGGAGUUUAUGCACUUGGUCCAGGACAACAAUUCGGAGAAUACUUGGCUCCAAACGCUGAUUAUCCCGCCUGCUGUGAACGUAAAGUUAUAAGCGUGUAACAACGAAAUCGAAAUGUUCAAAUUUCAACACAAAUAAAUGUAAAUCUAAAAUCUAGAAGGAAAA